rnacentral:rRNA from 1 species
UACGUAGGUGGCAAGCGUUAUCCGGAAUUACUGGGUGUAAAGGGUGUGUAGGCGGGUUUGCAAGUCAGAUGUGAAAAUUAUGGGCUCAACCCAUAACCUGCGUCUGAAACUACAGAUCUUGAGAGUGGGAGAGGUAAACGGAAUUCCCGGUGUAGCGGUGAAAUGCAUAGAUAUCACGCAGAACUCCGAUUGCGAAGGCAGCUUACUAAGCCAUAACUGACACUGAAGCACGAAAGCGUGGGGAUCAAACAGG